AAAAAGCUCGUAGUUGGAUUUCUGCUGAUCGCUGUCGGUCUGCCGUCAGGUGUGUACUGGCAGUGUUUGGCAUCUAUUCGAGAUUAGGUGUCCACUUGAUUGUGUGCACUUGAUGUCGGAGCUAAUACUUUGAGAAAAUUAGAGUGUUCCACGCAGGCGCGUGCCUUGAAUACUGCAGCAUGGGAUAUUGGAAGGCCGAUUGAGCUUUCUUGUUGGUUCUCGGUUUGAUCGGAAUGAUUAAUAGGGAUAGUUGGGGGCAUUCGUAUUCAACUGUCAGA
rnacentral:rRNA from 1 species